UGUUGUCGCUGUGUCCUGCCCAGGUUUGCCAUCUCAGCAGCUAACAGGGACUCCAGUGCAGCAGGAAUUCAAGGAAUAGCAAGCCAUAGUCCCUAGUGUGAAGAAAAUGCUGGGGACCUGGUAUAACAGUUUUUCUCCAGAGCCAAAGGAGUGCCAAGCAGCACUUCCUCCACACAGAAAACCUCUUUGUAGAGGUGGAGGUUUUGGAGGGGUGUGCAUUGAGGGGACAUGGCCCUUUCCUGCCAUGCCAGUUGUCCAAAGGCUCCAGCUGUUCUGAGUGGAGCAGGGAGGAGAAAAGGAAGAGGUGACUGACCAGGUCCCCUCCUCUCAGUGAGUGGCAUGGGGGUCUGUUUGGACUCUGGCUUACCAGGGCGAAGCAGGAGUCCUCCAGGUGCUAUUUCCUCAGAGGUCACCUUCCCAGCUUCCUUUGGAGGCUGAACACAGACAAAGCUAUGCUGAUAAACAAAGCCAUGACUCACAGGCCUGUGGUUCCAGGUGAGGUUGCUUGGAUACCGGUACUGAUCUUGCUGUUGGGUUGUUUGGCCUUAAGGAGGGUUGGUAGUCCCAGGCUAUAGCCACAAGUAAGCUUUCUUUAUCUGUUCAAACCUGGACUUUUUGAAAAUGAACUUUAACAUUUUACCAAAUACAGCAGGAAUCCUUUCCUAUUCUCCCACUCCCAUUCCCAGCCUCACUUACUGGUGUCUGCCAUCUGCUGUCAACCAAGGUCUGAAAAUAUUUUAAAAAAAUUCUAAAAGUUGUUUAAACCGUGUGCAUUCUGAGUAAUGUGGCGAAGCCUCUGUUGUUCCUUCAUGCCCACCUCAGGGCUGAGUCCCUUUGUCCUGGCUCUACAGUGUGUUUACCACUCACUCAGUCAACAAGGAAGGCCCUUAACUUAAUAAUCCAGGAAGAGUUAUGCUGAACUUGCUGUGGUCUCUGCAGUCCCACCC
rnacentral:lncRNA from 1 species